rnacentral:pre_miRNA from 1 species
GAUUUCAAAUGGAAAAGCCACAAACAGCAAAGUUGUACAACUUAUCAAAUCAAGAUCUACAACUUUUAUGUUGCUCACUUCUUUAUCCGAUAAAGUGAUAGUACCAAUAUUUACAAAAUUGACAUAUCUGUGUUGAUGUUUAUAAACCAGAUGAGAGAAAUGUGANNNNNNNNNNNAAAGUGAUAGUACCAAUAUUUACAAAAUUGACAUAUCUGUGUUGAUGUUUAUAAACCAGAUGAGAGAAAUGUGAUUUUUGUGAAUAAUAUAACUAUCACUUUGUCGGAUGAAGAAGUGACCAAAAUGAAAGUUGUAGAUCUUGAUAAGUUGUACAACUUUGCUAUGUCUGGCUUUUCCAUUUGAAAUC